rnacentral:rRNA from 1 species
GGAGUUAGCCGAUGCUUAUUCUCCAGGUACACGUCAUUUAUUCCUCCCUGAAAAAAGAGGUUUACAACCCAUAGGCCGUCAUCCCUCACGCGGUAUUGCUCCGUCAGGCUUUCGCCCAUUGCGGAAAAUUCCC